AGGGUUUGAUCCUGGCUCAGAGCGAACGCUGGCGGCGUGGAUAAGGCAUGCAAGUCGAGCGAUCCUGAUCGCAAGAUCGGGAGAGCGGCAAAAGGGUGCGUAGCACGUGGGGAACGUACCCGGCAGCGCGGGAUACCAUUGCGAAAGCGGUGUUAAUACCGCAUGUCCUUCCGGGGUCACAUGGUCCUGGGGGGAAAGGUGGCGAAUCCGAAAGGAUGCUACCGUUGUCGGAGCGCCCCGCGUCCCAUCAGCUAGUUGGUAGGGUAACGGCCUACCAAGGCAUUUGACGGGUAGCUGGCCUGAGAGGGUGGUCAGCCACACUGGGACUGAGACACUGCCCAGACUCCUACGGGAGGCUGCAGUCGAGAAUCUUUGGCAAUGGGCGAAAGCCUGACCAUGCGACGCCGCGUGCGGGAUGAAGGCUUUCGGGUCGUAAACCGCUGUCACGAGGGACGAAGAUGUUUCGGGCGAAUAGCCCGAGAUAUUUGACGGUUCCUCGAGAGGACGCCACCGCUAACUCCGGCGCAGCAGCCGCGGUAAUACGGAGGUGGCAAGCGUUGCUCGGAUUUACUGGGUGUAAAGGGCAAGUAGGCGGUUUGGUAAGCCCCGUCUGAAAGGCUCUGGCUCAACCAGAGCAGUGGGCGGGGGACUGCCAGACUUGAGGACAGGAGAGGCGAAUGGAAUUCCCGGUGUAAGGGUGAAAUCUGUAGAGAUCGGGAGGAACACCAGUGGCGAAGGCGAUUCGCUGGCCUGUUUCUGACGCUGAGAGGCGAAAGCUAGGGGAGCAAACAGGAUUAGAUACCCUGGUAGUCCUAGCCGUAAACGAUGCGCACUAGGUGUUGGCUCGCUUUGGCGGGUCAGUGCCGCAGGUAACCCAUUAAGUGCGCCACCUGGGGAGUACGGCCGCAAGGUUGAAACUCAAAGGAAUUGACGGGGGCCAGCACAAGCGGUGGAACAUGUGGUUUAAUUCGAUGCUACGCGAAGAACCUUACCCAGGCUUGACAUGCUUGAAGUAGGAACCUGAAAGGGAACCCACUCGUAUCCAGU
rnacentral:rRNA from 1 species